rnacentral:rRNA from 1 species
CGAACGGGUGAGUAUCGCGUGGGUAAUCUACCUAGAGGUGUGGGAUAGCCUCGGGAAACCGGGGGUAAUACCGCAUGAGUCCUCGACGACACAAGUCGAUGAGGGGAAAGGCGGGGCUCCUUCGGGACCUGUCGCCUCUAGAUGAGCCCGCGUCCGAUUAGCUAGUUGGUGGGGUAAUGGCCCACCAAGGCGACGAUCGGUAGCCGGCCUGAGAGGGUGAACGGCCACAUUGGGACUGAGACACGGCCCAG